AGUUCGUAGUGACCUGCGGAGGAUCAUUACACAUUCGGGGCGCUUCGGCGCUCCUUAUACACCCACCCUCUGCCUACGUGUACCUCUAUAGCUUCCUCGGCGGGCUCGCCCGCCGCCAGGAACCCACGAAACCCCUUGCAUUAUACGCGAAAACUUCUGAUAACAAACCUAAAUUAUCACAACUUUCAACAAUGGAUCUCUUGGUUCUGGCAUCGAUGAAGAACGCAGCGAAAUGCGAUAAGUAGUGUGAAUUGCAGAAUUCAGUGAAUCAUCGAAUCUUUGAACGCACAUUGCGGCCAUAGGUAUUCCUUUGGCCAUGCCUGUUCGAGCGUCAUUUACACCCUCAAGCCUAGCUUGGUGUUGGGCGUCUGUCCCGCCGUUCUCGCGCGCGGACUCGCCUCAAAGUCAUUGGCGGCGGUCGUGCCGGCCCCCUCGCGCAGCACAUUUGCGCUUCUCGGAGGCCCGGCGGAUCCGCGCUCCAGCAAGACCUUUCACGACUUGACCUCGGAUCAGGUAGGGAUACCCGCUGAACUUAAGCAUAUCAAUAAGGCGGAGGA
rnacentral:rRNA from 1 species